GGCUGAUUCUACAUACAGGGGUUUCCUUCAUUUUCUAUUCUUUUGGUAUUUUAUUCUUCAUGAGAAUAGUACCAGAGGUUAGAAAAGAGGACUUAUCCUACGUCCUGCCUUCUAGGUGCCUUCUUUGACUCCAGCGUGAACAUUCAAAGUCCAGUGCAGUGUUUUGGCACAUCAAUCAAGUAACCAACAUGAAAUCUGCUACACAGGAGGCAUGGCAGCAUUUGCUUCUGAAGAGGGCUCAGGGAGAUUUUACUCAUGGUGGAAGACAAAGUGGGAUCUGGCACCUUACAUGGCAGGAGCAGAAGACAGAGAAUCAACUUGACAGUUUCUAAAAAAUAUUUUUGAGAUUUGGAUUGAGAUGGUACUGAAUCUGUAGCUCUGCUGAGGAGAACUGGUAUUUUAAUAUGAUUGCAUCUUCCAAUCAACAUACAAGGUAAAUGUAUGCUGUAUUUAUUUAGUUUUUUUAAAAAUUAAAUUCAUGUAGUUAUAUAUUUGCUUAAACACAUUUGUACAGAUUAUUUUUAAAUUCAUUUUGAAACUUUAUUGUUCACAUAAAGAAAUACAUUAAUUUUGUAUUCAUUGUAUUCAGUAACCUUUCUUCUUCUUCUUUUUCAUUUUUCCAUAGAGAGUCUCUCUCUGCUGCCCAGGCAAGAAUGUAAAGACAUAAUGAGACGUCACUGCAUCCUCAAACCCUUUGGCUCAUGUGAUCCUCCCACCUCAGCCUCCCAAGUAGCUGGGAUUACAGCUGAAAGGUUAAAUACUUUGGAGUCAUUGGGAGUCUCAGAGAACACUGUAACAUCAAAAAGUCCCUAA
rnacentral:lncRNA from 13 species